rnacentral:ncRNA from 1 species
UAUUUGUUUAACUGUGGCAAUAGGAAGUUUUGUUCUUUAGUUGCAUAAAAUUAUUUUUGUUUAAUAAAGAUAAUGACUUUUUCUUAUUUAAUUAGCAAUUAGUUUUUUAUUUAGGCUAACCCCUUGUAAGAGAGGACGAAGUAAGGGGAUAGGGCACAGUGCCAGCAUCCGCGGUUAUUCUGUAUUCUUUGCUUUCUUUUGAAUAACAUUUAGUAGCUUAUUAGUGAGGUUAGGUGAAAUUUUCUUACUGUUAUGCCAUUCUACUAUGUGGUGUAAAGUUAUUAUUAAUGACAGGGAUUAGAUACCCCAUUAAUUGGUAACUUAAUUAAUUCUAGUUUAAUAACUAAAACAGUUUGGCAGUGAGUCACUCCUAUUGGGGGAAGGUGUGGUUUAAAGGACGAUCCGCCAAAUAAUUGACCCGCUCUAUGUUGGUGUAUAUCUGGUUAAAUAUUAUUGCUUUAGUAGCUUUAAUUUGUGUAGUUGGUUAUAGUUAAGCCAAGUCUAUGUGCUGCAUGAGAGGGUACUCAUGCGUUACUCUUAAUUAAAUAGGUGUUUGUAAUAGUUGCCUAAUAUUUGGGACUCAAAAGUAAUAUCACAUAAGUUAGGUGAUGUGAAAAGGGUUUGACUCAGGUACACACCGCCCGUCACCCUCGGUGUAUACUGAGGUAAGUCGUAACAUGGUAACCCCAAAUGAAUUUGGGGUUA